rnacentral:rRNA from 1 species
AGCAGCCGCGGUAAUUCCAGCUCCAAUAGCGUAUAUUAAAGUUGUUGCAGUUAAAAGCUCGUAGUUGAAUUUUGGAUUCUACCAAUCGGUCCAUCUUUUGAUGAGUACUGGUUGUGUGGGGUCUAUCCGCCUGGUGAUACGCAAUGUCCUUUAUUGGAUGUUGCGGGUAGUCAGGACCUUUACCUUGAAAAAUUAGAGUGUUUAAAGCAGGCUUAUGCCGGAAUACAUUAGCAUGGAAUAAUAGAAUAGGACGAAGUUGUUUUAUUUUGUUGGUUUCUAGGACAACCGUAAUGAUUAAUAGGGAUAGUUGGGGGCAUUAGUAUUCAAUUGUCAGAGGUGAAAUUCUUGGAUUUAUUGAAGACUAACUACUGCGAAAGCAUUUGCCAAGGAUGUUUUCAUUAAUCAAGAACGAAAGUUAGGGAUCGAAGACGAUCAGAUACCGUCGUAGUCUUAACCAUAAACUAUGCCGACUAGGGAUCGGGCGAUGUUGUUUCAAUGACUCGCUCGGCACCUUAUGGGA